rnacentral:rRNA from 1 species
ACUUUCCCUUUGACGUGUAGUUUGCCGUAGUGCAAGCCCUCGGCGGGAGCAACAGCUGCCGUCGGGCGGUAGAGGUAACACUUUCACGCGCCGCAUGUCUGAAUCCUUUUUUUACGAGCACCUUUCGUUCUCCUUCGGCGGGGCAACCUGCCGUUGGAACCUAUCAAAACCUUUUUUUGCAUCUAGCAUUACCUGUUCUGAUACAAACAAUCGUUACAACUUUCAACAAUGGAUCUCUUGGCUCUGGCAUCGAUGAAGAACGCAGCGAAAUGCGAUAAGUAGUGUGAAUUGCAGAAUUCAGUGAAUCAUCGAAUCUUUGAACGCACAUUGCGCCCCUUGGUAUUCCAUGGGGCAUGCCUGUUCGAGCGUCAUCUACACCCUCAAGCUCUGCUUGGUGUUGGGCGUCUGUCCCGCCUCUGCGCGCGGACUCGCCCCAAAUGCAUUGGCAGCGGUCCUUGCCUCCUCUCGCGCAGCACAUUGCGCUUCUCGAGGUGCGCGGGCCGCGUCCACGAAGCAACAUUACCGUCUUUGACCUCGGAUCAGGUAGGGAUACCCGCUGAACUUAAGCAUAUCAAUAAGCGGAGAAAA